GACGAACGCUGGCGGCGUGCUUAACACAUGCAAGUCGAACGGAAAGGCCCUGCUUUUGUGGGGUGCUCGAGUGGCGAACGGGUGAGUAACACGUGAGUAACCUGCCCUGGACUUUGGGAUAACUUCAGGAAACUGGGGCUAAUACCGGAUAGGAGCUCCUGCUGCAUGGUGGGGGUUGGAAAGUUUCGGCGGUUGGGGAUGGACUCGCGGCUUAUCAGCUUGUGGGUGGGGUAGUGGCUUACCAAGGCUUUGACGGGUAGCCGGCCUGAGAGGGUGACCGGACACAUUGGGACUGAGAGACGGCCCAGACUCCUACGGGAGGCAGCAGUGGGGAAUAUUGCACAAUGGGCGGAAGCCUGAUGCAGCAACGCCGCGUGCGGGAUGACGGCCUUCGGGUUGUAAACCGCUUUCGCCUGUGACGAAGCGUGAGUGACGGUAAUGGGUAAAGAAGCACCGGCUAACUACGUG
rnacentral:rRNA from 1 species